GGCUGGGUCCAAGUGCAGUGGUGUUUACAACUAAUUGAUCACAACCAGUUACAGAUUUGUUUGUUCCUUCUUCACUCCUACUGCUUCACUUGACCAGUCUUAA
ensembl:misc_RNA Y_RNA Y RNA